rnacentral:lncRNA from 1 species
UGAAGACUUGGGCUUCAAAUCGGUUGUGACCAAACAUGCUUUCUGCGCGCUUCGCUAUCGAUUGAUGUCAAGAUAUGAACAUCGAUCGAUUAUUCCUCUCCAAUAACGACCGAUGGUCGAGUUCGAUGGUCAUCUUGGAUGCUUGCUCCAAAUAUCUCCAGAAUGCUCCAAAAUCAUCACUUAUCUCCAAAUCACUUCUGAUCUUAUAAAUAUAAUAAAUAGACUCUAUAAUAUAAUAAUUAUUAGUAAAAACACCUAUAAACCAUGGAUGAAAAUGGGUCAAAUCCAUAUUCUAUCAACUCCC